rnacentral:tRNA from 6 species
UGGAGAGAUGUCCGAGUGGUCGAAGGAGCACGCCUGGAACGCGUGUGUAGGGGAAACUCUACCGAGGGUUCAAAUCCCUCUCUCUCCGCCAU